rnacentral:rRNA from 1 species
UCAAUAAGCGGAGGAAAAGAAACUAACAAGGAUUCCCCUAGUAACGGCGAGUGAAGCGGGAUGAGCUCAAAUUUGUAAUCUGGCGGCCUCUGGCCGUCCGAGUUGUAGUCUGGAGAAGCGUUUUCCGCGUCGGACCGUGUACAAGUCCCUUGGAACAGGGCGUCGUAGAGGGUGAGAAUCCCGUCUUUGACACGGACUGCCGAUGCUUUGCGAUGCGCUCUCGAAGAGUCGAGUUGUUUGGGAAUGCAGCUCAAAACGGGUGGUAAAUUCCAUCUAAAGCUAAAUAUGGGCGAAAGACCGAUAGCGAACAAGUACCGUGAGGGAAAGAUGAAAAGCACUUUGGAAAGAGAGUUAAACAGUACGUGAAAUUGUUGAAAGGGAAACGCUUGAAGUCAGUCGCGUCUCCCGGGACUCAGCCUUGCUUCUGCUUGGUGUAUUUCCUGGGGUGACGGGCCAGCAUCGAUUUCGACCGUCGGAGAAGGGCCUUGGGAACGUGGCACCCUUUGGGUGUGUUAUAGCCCUCGGUCGUAUGCGACGGUCGGGAUCGAGGACCGCAGCACGCCUUUUGGCCGGGGUUC